GGGCCCGUAGCUCAACGGACAGAGCGACGGACUUCUAAUCCGUAGCGUGAGGGUUCGACUCCCUCCGGGCCCGCCA
rnacentral:tRNA from 1 species